AAUCUACCCUAAGAUGGGGGACAACCUUGGGAAACUAGGGCUAAUACCCCAUAUGUGGCGAGUUGAAAUACUUGUCAUGAAAGUUUUUGCGUCUUAGGAUGAGCCUGCGUCUGAUUAGCUGGUUGGUAGGGUAAUUGCCUACCAAGGCGACGAUCAGUAGCUGGUUUGAGAGGAUGAUCAGCCACAAUGGGACUGAGACACGGCCCAUACUCCUACGGGAGGCAGCAGUAGGGAAUUUUGCGCAAUGGGCGAAAGCCUGACGCAGCAAUACCGCGUGAGUGAUGAAAGCCCCUUGGGGGUGUAAAACUCUGUCAGUGGGGACGAAAUUUGACGGUACCCAACAGAGGAAGCAUCGGCUAACUACGUGCCAGCAGCCGCGGUAAGACGUAGGAUGCAAGCGUUGUCCGGAUUUAUUGGGCGUAAAGCGUUCGUAGGCUGCACGUUAAGU
rnacentral:rRNA from 1 species